rnacentral:rRNA from 1 species
UACGUGGGGGGCAAGCGUUAUCCGGAUUUACUGGGUGUAAAGGGAGCGUAGACGGCAGUGCAAGUCUGAAGUGAAAGGCAAGGGCUCAACCCUUGGACUGCUUUGGAAACUGUGCUGCUGGAGUGUCGGAGAGGCAAGUGGAAUUCCUAGUGUAGCGGUGAAAUGCGUAGAUAUUAGGAGGAACACCAGUGGCGAAGGCGGCUUGCUGGACGAUGACUGACGUUGAGGCUCGAAAGCGUGGGGAGCAAACAGG